rnacentral:tRNA from 2 species
GGGCGAUUAGCUCAGCUGGUUUAGAGCGUCUGCCUUACAAGCAGAGGGUCUGCGGUUCGAAUCCGUAAUCGCCCACCA